UGCACCAGCUUUUGAGUCAUUUUGUCCUUAUUGGCUAUUCUAGGUGGUGGAUGAUUCAUCAGCAGCUAAACAUGCGUCAGCCUCUCUGUUUAACCAACAAAAGUGCAUCCUUUUUCACACCAGGUUUUCAUUUUCUUUCUUUAUCUCACACACCAGAAUUCUUCCUACCUCCAUUCAUUCACUAGAGAUGCAAAACAGACGGAGUAGAUCGACCAUAAACUCUAGCCACCAAACACCAUAGUAGCUUCCGUCCCUAUGCAGCCGAAAUUAACAGUUCAAUUCAUGACUCAUUUCGCCGUCGCCAAAGAAUCAAAUCUUCAAUAGAGGUAUUAUUGGCCCUAUAUGGUUACUUAAUCUGCACCGAUUAGCAAUGGCGGAGCCGACACGGUGGAGGUGUUUCAACAUUGAAAAAAAGUUUGAACCUUUGCUAAUUGGGGAUUUCAAUUUGGCUUUUUUUUCAAUAUAAUUUCAUAUUAAUGAUUAAUUAUUUGUUUUGGGUUGACCCUUUUAGUUCUUGCUAGGUUGAAGGAGGAGAGAUGAUGUAAAAGCCAUAGUUUUGACUAUGUCUAAUGACAGUUGAGACGGUGGGCAAAGGUCGUACGAUUGCACUUUUGGAAUUUAAUUUCCUAACUUUGUUCAAAAGGAAGUGAUGUGUUUCAGCUUUGGGUGGGUGGGGGUCAAAAUCAUUAGAAAAGCUACUUUACAAUAGAAAUACUAGUGUUGACUCUAAUCAGCCAAGUAAUGGCUUUCGAAUUCGAUUUUUGGACUACUAAAGAAGAUAGCCCUUGCAUGAUAUCCACCUUUGUGCGGAGAAAAGAUGUGGUUGGUUACCUGGUUGUGCUCGAGCACAAAUUCAUGAUUUGCGGCGACAGCCUUACAUGAUAUCAUCCGCGUUUGUGCAAUCAAACACUGGUGCAAUCAAACACGCUUGGUAUGCGCCUGUAGAAUCAUCGCCUUUUCAUCAUCUAUUCAUAAAGUAUGCUUAUAUGUUUGAUUGAUUAGAACUGAUACUGAUUUUGUAAUUGCUCUUGAUUAAUCUUGAUACUAAGUUUGUCUGGUU